UACGAAGGGGGCUAGCGUUGUUCGGAAUUACUGGGCGUAAAGCGCGUGUAGGCGGGUCUUUAAGUCAGGGGUGAAAUGCCAAGGCUCAACCUUGGAACUGCCUUUGAUACUGGAGAUCUUGAGUCCGGGAGAGGAUAGUGGAAUUCCCAGUGUAGAGGUGAAAUUCGUAGAUAUUGGAAAGAACACCGAUGGCGAAGGCACUUUACUGGGCUAUUACUAACACUGAGAGACGAAAGCUAGGGUAGCAAAUGGG
rnacentral:rRNA from 1 species